rnacentral:rRNA from 1 species
CCUACGGGUGGCUGCAGUGGGGAAUAUUGGACAAUGGGGGGAACCCUGAUCCAGCCAUGCCGCGUGUGUGAAGAAGGCCCUCGGGUUGUAAAGCACUUUCAGUGAGGAAGAACGCCUGGUGGUUAAUACCCAUCAGGAAAGACAUCACUCACAGAAGAAGCACCGGCUAACUCCGUGCCAGCAGCCGCGGUAAUACGGAGGGUGCGAGCGUUAAUCGGAAUUACUGGGCGUAAAGCGCGCGUAGGUGGCUUGAUAAGUCGGUUGUGAAAGCCCCGGGCUCAACCUGGGAACGGCAUCCGGAACUGUCAAGCUAGAGUGCAGGAGAGGAAGGUAGAAUUCCCGGUGUAGCGGUGAAAUGCGUAGAGAUCGGGAGGAAUACCAGUGGCGAAGGCGGCCUUCUGGACUGACACUGACACUGAGGUGCGAAAGCGUGGGUAGCAAACAGGAUUAGAUACCCGGGUAGUC